GGGUGCAUAGCUCAGCUGGUUAGAGCGCCACGUUUACACCGUGGAUGUCAGAGGUUCGAAUCCUCUUGCGCCCA
rnacentral:tRNA from 1 species